rnacentral:rRNA from 1 species
UGGGGAAUAUUGCACAAUGGGGGAAACCCUGAUGCAGCGACGCCGCGUGAGCGAAGAAGGCUUUCGAGUCGUAAAGCUCUGUCCUAUGAGAAGAUAAUGACGGUAUCAUAGGAGGAAGCCCUGGCUAAAUACGUGCCAGCAGCCGCGGUAAUACGUAUGGGGCGAGCGUUGUCCGGAAUUAUUGGGCGUAAAGGGUACGUAGGUGGUUUUUUAAGUCAGGUGUCAAAGCGUGGAGCUUAACUCCAUUAAGCACUUGAAACUGAAAGACUUGAGUGAAGGAGAGGAAAGUGGAAUUCCUAGUGUAGCGGUGAAAUGCGUAGAUAUUAGGAGCAAUACCGGUGGCGAAGGCGACUUUCUGGACUUUUACUGACGCUCAGGUACGAAAGCGUGGGGAGCAAACAGG